GUGGUAGGAGAGCGUUCUAAGGGCGGUGAAGUCAGACCGGAAGGACUGGUGGAGCGCUUAGAAGUGAGAAUGCCGGUAUGAGUAGCGAAAGAAGGGUGAGAAUCCCUUCCACCGAAUAUCUAAGGUUUCCUGAGGAAGGCUCGUCCGCUCAGGGUUAGUCGGGACCUAAGCCGAGGCCGAUAGGCGUAGGCGAUGGACAACAGGUAGAGAUUCCUGUACCAGUGCUAAUUGUUUAACCGAUGGGGUGACACAGAAGGAUAGGGAAUCGCACGAAUGGAAAUGUGCGUCCAAGCAGUGAGUGUGAGAAGUAGGCAAAUCCGCUUCUCGCGAAGCAUGAGCUGUGAUGGGGAAGGAAAUUAAGUACGGAAGUUCCUGAUUUCACGCUGUCAAGAAAAGCCUCUAGGAAGAGUAGUACUGCCCGUACCGCAAACCGACACAGGUAGAUGAGGAGAGAAUCCUAAGGUGAGCGAGAGAACUCUCGUUAAGGAACUCGGCAAAAUGACCCCGUAACUUCGGGAGAAGGGGUGCUCUAUUAGGGUGCAAGCCCGAGAGAGCCGCAGUGAAUAGGCCCAGGCGACUGUUUAGCAAAAACACAGGUCUCUGCAAAACCGUAAGGUGACGUAUAGGGGCUGACGCCUGCCCGGUGCUGGAAGGUUAAGAGGAGUGCUUAGCUUCGGCGAAGGUACGAAUUGAAGCCCCAGUAAACGGCGGCCGUAACUAUAACGGUCCUAAGGUAGCGAAAUUCCUUGUCGGGUAAGUUCCGACCCGCACGAAAGGCGCAACGAUCUGGGCACUGUCUCAACGAGAGACUCGGUGAAAUUAUAGUACCUGUGAAGAUGCAGGUUACCCGCGACAGGACGGAAAGACCCCGUGGAGCUUUACUGCAACCUGAUAUGGAAUGUUUGUACCGCUUGUACAGGAUAGGUAGGAGCCGAAGAGACGUGUGCGCUAGCAUACGAGGAGGCAAUGGUGGGAUACUACCCUGGCUGUAUGACCAUUCUAACCCGCCACGCUUAGCGCGUGGGGAGACAGUGUCAGGUGGGCAGUUUGACUGGGGCGGUCGCCUCCUAAAGAGUAACGGAGGCGCCCAAAGGUUCCCUCAGAAUGGAUGGAAAUCAUUCGCAGAGUGUAAAGGCACAAGGGAGCUUGACUGCGAGACUGACAAGUCGAGCAGGGACGAAAGUCGGGCUUAGUGAUCCGGUGGUUCCGCAUGGAAGGGCCAUCGCUCAACGGAUAAAAGCUACCCCGGGGAUAACAGGCUUAUCUCCCCCAAGAGUCCACAUCGACGGGGAGGUUUGGCACCUCGAUGUCGGCUCGUCGCAUCCUGGGGCUGUAGUCGGUCCC
rnacentral:rRNA from 1 species